UCGAGUUAGGGUCCUCCGGGCCCGACCUCCAAACCACUUGCCUACCGACCACUUGUUGCUUCGGCGGGCCCGUCCCCCCGAUAGGGGGCGACCGCUGGGGGGCCCACGCCCUCUGGCCCGCGCCCGCCGGUGGCCCUUAUCUAAACUCUUGUCAAAAUCGUGUCGUCUGAGUUGAGAAAAUAAUCAAAACA
rnacentral:misc_RNA from 1 species